rnacentral:misc_RNA from 1 species
AAAGUCGUAACAAGGUAACCGUAGGUGAACCUGCGGUUGGAUCAUUACAGAAACUGCACGUGAUUUGGGCGCUGGGGCGGGGGUGCUCUGAGCGCUGUUGCCCUCCUCCCAUCUCACGUUUCAGGCGUCGGACCACGUCCUCUGGGCGUGGGUAAGGUUCCUGACAUAUUUGUGAACCGUGCUGUCUCUGGCGGCGGGGCUUGUCCAAGGCUCCGGCAGGUUGAAAACUGCCGGCGUCGGGGUUAGCCCGUCAGCUUUCUGGCCAUACGGGUUGCUUCACGCCUGUGGGCGUGGGCGGACCCGCUGGACAGAAGCCGUGGACAAACCGCCAACCACUUGCAUAUCAACCUUUUGCGUCGAGCACUUUGUCUGACCUCUGUUUGUCUUGCGUGACAAUCGAGCAAACAACUUUUGGCAACGGAUCUCUUGGCUCUC